AUGCAAGUCGAGCGGACAGAUGGGAGCUUGCUCCCUGAUGUCAGCGGCGGACGGGUGAGUAACACGUGGGUAACCUGCCUGUAAGACUGGGAUAACUCCGGGAAACCGGGGCUAAUACCGGAUGGUUGUUUGAACCGCAUGGUUCAGACAUAAAAGGUGGCUUCGGCUACCACUUACAGAUGGACCCGCGGCGCAUUAGCUAGUUGGUGAGGUAACGGCUCACCAAGGCGACGAUGCGUAGCCGACCUGAGAGGGUGAUCGGCCACACUGGGACUGAGACACGGCCCAGACUCCUACGGGAGGCAGCAGUAGGGAAUCUUCCGCAAUGGACGAAAGUCUGACGGAGCAACGCCGCGUGAGUGAUGAAGGUUUUCGGAUCGUAAAGCUCUGUUGUAAGUCAAGAACGAGUGUGAGAGUGGAAAGUUCACACUGUGACGGUAGCUUACCAGAAAGGGACGGCUAACUACGUGCCAGCAGCCGCGGUAAUACGUAGGUCCCGAGCGUUGUCCGGAUUUAUUGGGCGUAAAGCGAGCGCAGGCGGUUUGAUAAGUCUGAAGUUAAAGGCUGUGGCUCAACCAUAGUUCGCUUUGGAAACUGUCAAACUUGAGUGCAGAAGGGGAGAGUGGAAU
rnacentral:rRNA from 1 species